rnacentral:rRNA from 1 species
UACGUAGGGGGCGAGCGUUAUCCGGAUUUAUUGGGCGUAAAGCGUGCGUAGGCGGCUUGUUAAGUCCAGAAUUAAAGCCCGAGGCUUAACCUCGGUUCGUUCUGGAUACUGGCAGGCUUGAGUAUGGUAGAGGCAAAUGGAAUUCCUAGUGUAGCGGUGAAAUGCGUAGAUAUUAGGAGGAACACCAGUGGCGAAGGCGAUUUGCUGGGCCAUCACUGACGCUGAGGUACGAAAGCGUGGGUAGCAAAUAG